AUGACGAAAGCUCAAGAAGACGCACAGAGACUUUACGCAGCUGGGGAGAAAAAACUAGGGACAGAUGAGUCUACAUUCAAUUCACUGUUGGCUUCCCAGAGUUACGAACAACUAAGAGCUGUGUUUGAUGCAUAUCAAAAAAUCUCUGGAAAAGACAUAGAGCAAGUCAUCAAGAGUGAAAUGUCUGGAAAUCUGGAGAUAGGAAUGGUGGCUAUUGUUCGAGUAGUAAGAAACAGACCAGGAUACUUUGCAAAGAAACUCUACCAUUCAAUGAAGGGAUUGGGAACAGAUGACAAAACUCUGAUCAGAGUCAUUAUAACCAGGGCAGAAGUUGAUAUGGUUCAGGUCAAACAGGAGUUCCAGAAAGAGUUUGGCAAGUCCCUGGAAGACUUCAUCAAGGACGACACUUCUGGGGAUUACAGGAAGGUACUUCUGGCCUUGGUGUCAUAAGGAGGCUAGUGAUCACACUAAUUACCCAAAGUUAGUGAAAAACCUGAUGAAGACUAAACCUCUUUUUCACUCUUUUUCAAGUUCUUGCUUAUUUCUAUUUUGUUACGCGUGAAAUAAUCAACAACGUUGUAACUUUGAGCCAAUAGCUGGUCAUAAUUAGAACUUGAAUGGGUCAAAUAUUUACUAGUAUGUUAUUAUUGUUGUUUGUGUUUUAUAAUUUUUUCAGUUAAAAUAAGUAUUUGUCUAUGUUGUUUGUUAGGAUAGGAAUAAUCAGAUUAAUAUAGAUAUUUAACACAUUUAUUUAGUCAUAUUUAAAACUCGUUUAAAAACUUAAAUAGUUCUUUUUAAAAAAUUAAAACGUUUGUGUGAAGUAUUUAUAUGCUGUUGAUCAGAUUGUUGUAAUUAAAAGAAUAACAUUUUUUAUCUUUAAAGAAGAAUUAAGACUUAUGCUUUUAGAUUGAAUUUACAUGAUAAGUCUUUACUUGUGUGUUUGUGUGUUAAAGUCGUCUUAAAAAUAUCAAUUUAUUUAUGUCACACUGUUUUGUCUUAUAUUUCUGUUAACUGUAUACACAAGAAAUCAAUGUGUUCAACCUAUAAGGUUUUAUGUGUGCAUUUCUUACUUUAUUUUGGAAAUUAUCAGGGGAACAAGCUAAUGUAUAUUACGUUUGUUACGUCAUUUCAAAUUUACGUGAAAGUUACAUAAAAAAAAUGUUUAAUCGG
rnacentral:misc_RNA from 1 species